rnacentral:rRNA from 1 species
AGCCUGCCCUCAGAUUAGCGGCGGACGGGUGAGUAACACGUGGGCAACCUGCCCUGCAGAUUGGGAUAACUCCGGGAAACCGGGGCUAAUACCGAAUAAGAUCGAAGAUCACAUGAGCCUCCUUUGAAAGAUGGCCUCGGCUGUCACUGCAGGAUGGGCCCGCGGCGCAUUAGCUAGUUGGUGAGGAACGGCUCACCAAGGCAACGAUGCGUAGCCGACCUGAGAGGGUGAUCGGCCACACUGGGACUGAGACACGGCCCAGACUCCUACGGGAGGCAGCAGUAGGGAAGCCUCCGCAAUGGACGAAAGUCUGACGGAGCAACGCCGCGUGAGUGAUGAAGGUUUUCGGAUCGUAAAACAC